UACAGAGGGUGCAAGCGUUGUUCGGAAUUAUUGGGCGUAAAGCGCGGGCAGGCGGUCUUGCCAGUCUGAUGUGAAAUCUCUCAGCUCAACUGGGAGCAGCCAUUGGAAACUACAAGACUGGAGUCUGGCAGAGGUAGGCGGAAUUCCGGGUGGAGUGGUGAAAUGCGUAGAGAUCCGGAGGAACACCAGAGGCGAAGGCGGCCUACUGGGCCAGUACUGACGCUGAGCCGCGAAAGCCAGGGGAGCGAACGGG
rnacentral:rRNA from 1 species